rnacentral:lncRNA from 1 species
GCCACCAGAAGAAAUAUUGAUGUACAUGAUUCGACCUGAAAGAGAUGUGUGCUGCCAGCUGUAACAAAUUUGAUGUCAAGGAUCAAUCAUGCAGCUAGUAAAGAGGUUUCGGGCAACGGUCUGACAUGUCCAGUGAAAAUAUGAUGUCAUUGGUAACUCUCUGUUUGUAUGGUCUAUGGAGUCCCUGUUGAUGGCCAUAAACUCUGUUGGUACUAAAGUACAUGCUCAAGUCCAAGUUCCAUUCCUCCUUCUGAGGCCAUGUUGAGGUGUAAACAUCAUGAUUUCGAUGAUCAGUCUUUUCCCUGGAGAAGAGGUUUAUGUCCAUGAUCCUACCUCUACUCUGAAAC